CCCGCCCUGGGCCUCUGCUGCUGACUGCAUGGCCUAUUUUGUCUCAACACUCCACCUGCCAGUAUGAAAAUGACCCUGCUAGGAUGUGAAAGAGAGCAGGC
rnacentral:lncRNA from 1 species